UCAAAAAGUUAAUAAAGAGAUCAUAAAUCUAAUCCAUAAGAAUUGAGCAAAUUAGUCAAAAUUCUCUGAAGAGACUUGUCACUUUAUAUGAUGAUCAGAUCUAACUUAGCUUCUAAUUCAUACACAAUCAUCAGAGCAGAUCAGUAAUGGUAAGUGGAAGCUCAAGCAUUCCUGCUCGAUGUGUGAGACGUUCAUUCUUGUGUUAUGUAGCAUGUUUAGCUUCUGCAAGAACCAGAGGUUUGUUCUUGUGUCAAGCAAGUACUUCUACACUGUAAAAAAAUAAGUAAAAAUACAGUACAAUAUACCCUAAUAAUUACAGGAAAUUUUCAGUUUUUGUUUUUUACAGGUGUUUUUCCGUAUUUUUGAAUUACGCUUUGCAUUGUGGGAACAAGAACGUUGGUGGCUUACACAGGCGCGAAAACAGUGAAGAGAAGACGCGGAGAGUUUCUCGGUCAACGUUUCAUUUUAAUGUCGGCUUUCGAAUUUGGGAAACAUGUUUUUCAUAUACUCUUCGUGGUAAACGAGUUAAAUGUCACAUACAUUGUUUAUGUAAGGUUAACUUAGUUGCCGUCUGGCUUGUUUGGCAAAUGAACAUCGGAGCCAUCGCACUCAACAUUUCUCUGCAUCCUCGUCAGACAUCUUCUGCCAAAUGAGGUAAGUUUUGACCUUUUAUUGUCUGUUUUACACACACACACACGGAAGAUAAAAUGCAAAACACAAACUAAUUCGGUAACGUUACUAGCAAGCUGUCUGUGAAGCGACUGUGUAAACAGAGGCGGCCGACAGAAUGCCGCUUCAGGUCAGCGGUCCGGUAACGUCAGCUUCUCGAGUUAUCUUCACUCUAAUGGGCAAAUGCACACGACAUUAUGUCAAAAUGACCGUUGUUUUUCUUUCGUUUUUUUUCUAAUGACAGGACGUGAUUGCUGCUGUACUGUGAAUCUCAAGCACACCUGCAUUCUUAUCAUGGGUGAUGGGCAGCUCAAGAUUGCUGUCCUUCAAGAAGUUAAUGACCACUGUUGAGGUUGUGAGCUACAAAUACCCAGAAGAGGCAGCACUUGCAUCGGAAUUCAUACAGAAAGUUUUCCUGUGAAGAAAUCCUAAAUGAGGGUUGAGAUGAAGGCAACCAGGUGAUGGGCAGUUCAGGAUUGCUGUCGUUUGAGAAGUUAAUGAACAAAUCUUCUUUCCUGUUGCGGUUGUGAGCUACAAAAUACCCAGAGGAGACGGCACUUAUUCUGGAGUUCAUACAGAAAAUCCUGAACGUGGUUUGAGAUGAAGGCAACCAAGUGGCUUUGCAUUCCUCCAAGACUCUUGCAUGAACAGUUUCAAAAAUCCAUGUAAUAUUUGAGUUUUUCAGUUGAAAAAAAUGGCACUUGCAUUAAACAUGCAGUUAAAUGGUAAAUAAUACAUCCCCUAUAAUGAAUUGCAUCACUUCAAUGAUAUUUCUGUUACAAUGAACUUCAAAAUUCUGUUGUCAAGCCACUGGAGUAACAUACUUUAUACCAUUCUGGACCUUGAAAAUGCUAGUUGCAUAGACAAUCAAUAGAGGGACAGAAAGUACCCAGAUAUAACUAAAAUACUCUUAAUUUGUGUUCUAAAAAUGAAUGAAAGUCUUAUGGGUUUGGAAUGGUAUGAGGCUGAGUAAUUGACUGAAUUAACAUUUUUUUGUGUGAACUAUCCCUCUAAACAAUAUUGUUUUCUCUUAUAAGAAAAAAAAAGUUUUGAAUCUUUAAUGUUUUACAGUUUGAAGUUUAAAUUUUGUGACCACUUUUUAGUACAACAGCUGUAUUGUACAGAUGCUCAUGUUUUCUUUUUUUUUUUUUUUUUUCUGUCUGUUACUGUUUAAAGCUAAACUGUCUUUUACAAUACAGCCAUUUUGCCUGAGUUGACACAUUGUUAAAUGAAUUGAGUAUUUGAUAUUGUUUAGUCCUAACCCACUUAAGGCAAACAAAAGCCAUUGAAUGCACUUUUAAGAAU